rnacentral:lncRNA from 1 species
UUAUUUUCUUAACAGAUGGGCUGGAGGCUCUGGGCCCAGGUGACAUGGGCUGGUGAGGCAGGAUGAACCUGGUUCCAGGAAGCUGAGGCAGCAGCUCAGGACUGGAGUCUGGGGGCCUCCCUGUGGCUGCCCGCAGAGUCCCCACCAUCCCUGGAUUCUUCCUCUGUCGUUCAGGAUCUCUGAGGGUCAAAGCAGAUCCAGAAGAGAAAAACGGAGAUUGUCCCCAGGGAUUCAACUGUCUUCUUCAGUCCACCUGGCCUGGUUGAGGCACCAGUCUGCUCAGGCAGGAGAGAGAGGCUGGACUGCUCUUGGUGCCUGAGAAGCAGGACUAGAGCGAGGCCUGGCAAGUCCCUGAACCAGCCUGCUGCAGACAUGCUCCCUGGGCCCCGGGCCAGGGGCUUUGGCCCAGCACCGAAUCAGCAGCAGCUCCUUACGUGGGAGGCUCUCAUGUUCUCCCUCUCAGUUCUCAAAAAAAUUCUUUUUCCCCUUUCUGAACGUGAGUCUCUAAACAAAUCCAGAGGCUGUGACUAAAAAUACUUUAACAAUAGGAAAGUGCAUCAGUCUUUCCGGUUGGAGCUUGUUAUCAGAGGGUUUUUAUUUUGGAAUUUGAAGUUUUGCCCAUGGAGGCUUGGGUGGAGACCUUGGGUUGGGGCAGGGAAUUUGGUGGGUGUUGAUAGUCUGCAGGGUUCUGGGAGACCCUCCAAGGGGUGAGAUGCCAGGAGCUGAACAGACUGAGGCAUAAAAAGGUUGGCAGUCUGAGGAGUGUCGGGGCAUGGGGCAACCUUUCUCAGAGGAACUCUUGUCUAUGCUUUCUAGCUCUGAAUGGCUGUUUUUCCUAAAGUCUGACCUUAUUUCUAUGUGCUGUAUGUUAAGGAGGUGGGGUAGAGAAAUGACUGCUCUGAAGAUAGCCUCUGUGGCCAUACCCUGACUUCAGCUUUCACCAGAGCAUUAAUUGAGUACUUGCUGCAUACAGAGCCUGGAAUUUUCCCAGUACUGGGUAGAAAUUCAUCUGGGCACACUCUUAUUUCCUUUCACUUAGCCGUGAGGGAGAGAAGUGGGGAUGAGGUUACUGUUUAUCUCUAACUGCUGACUGCCCAGUCUAGCUGAGGUCCUUGGUGUGUUCUGUCCUUCCCUGCCUUCCCUGCUAGUACUGGGAUUCUGCUGCAGGUCCCUGGAGUCCAGGACCCUGACAGCACUCCGUUUCAAUGUUGAGAAUCUCCCUUGCAUUAUUAGUGAAUUCACUUCUCCUGCUACCGUGACUUACCAUGUUUUCUGCACUGGGCAGAUGAGGAAAGAGUCUUGGAGGUGGCAAGGGAUUGACCUUAGGUCACACAACAGGCUUGCUAGCCUCUGGUAUAAGAUACUUCUGAUAGCUCUUUCACCUUUUGCCCCUGACAAGAGCCGUUGUGUGUGGAGGGAGUAGUGGCUAACCUGCCUGCAUCCUUGGGAGCCUGUUUUGUGGGGAGGUGACCACAUGUGUGGGCAUGGCAGGGCUUGGGAGAGGGCCAGGAGAUCAGAGCCAGAGGUCUCG